rnacentral:rRNA from 1 species
AACGAACGCUGGCGGCAUGCCUAACACAUGCAAGUCGAACGAGAUCUUCGGGUCUAGUGGCGCACGGGUGCGUAACGCGUGGGAAUCUGCCCUUUGGUUCGGAAUAACAGUUGGAAACGACUGCUAAUACCGGAUGAUGACGAAAGUCCAAAGAUUUAUCGCCAGAGGAUGAGCCCGCGUAGGAUUAGCUAGUUGGUGUGGUAAAGGCGCACCAAGGCGACGAUCCUUAGCUGGUCUGAAAGGAUGAUCAGCCACACUGGGACUGAGACACGGCCCAGGCUCCUACGGGAGGCAGCAGCGGGGAAUAUUGGACAAUGGGCGAAAGCCUGAUCCAGCAAUGCCGCGUGAGUGAUGAAGGCCUUAGGGUUGUAAAGCUCUUUUACCCGGGAUGAUAAUGACAGUACCGGGAGAAUAAGCUCCGGCUAACUCCGUGCCAGCAGCCGCCGUAA